AAUUACUGGGCGUAAAGCGCACGCAGGCGGUCUGUCAAGUCGGAUGUGAAAUCCCCGGGCUCAACCUGGGAACUGCAUUCGAAACUGGCAGGCUUGAGUCUUGUAGAGGGGGGUAGAAUUCCAGGUGUAGCGGUGAAAUGCGUAGAGAUCUGGAGGAAUACCGGUGGCGAAGGCGGCCCCCUGGACAAAGACUGACGCUCAGGUGCGAAAGCGUGGGGAGCAAACAGGAUUAGAUACCCUGGUAGUCCACGCCGUAAACGAUGUCUA
rnacentral:rRNA from 1 species